rnacentral:lncRNA from 1 species
CUCAAUUGUUUGUAAAACAAUUGAAAGGUCUUUCCUGUAAAAGUGAUGUUUUCGUAAUGUACUUUGUACGACCUUUCGUUUGAUAUACGACAAGCAUACCUUCUGAAACUUUCGCUUUUUACACUUAAUGACCUCAUCCGCCUACAUUUUCGAGAUCGGAAGUAUGAUAUAUGUAACAUAGACAAUAAUGAGCUUUCAUUUGAUAUGCGACAACGCCAUGUUCUAGAAAGUUUGAUUUUUGCACUUAAUAACCCAUCCAACUAAUUUUUGGAGGUCAGGAAUUUGAUAUUUCAAAUGUACACAUCAUGGCCUUUCAUUUGAUAUACAACAACCCUAUCUAAAAAGAAAAUUUAUUUUUUGCACUCAAUGACCCCAUCCAACCAAUUUUUUGGGGACGUCAAUUUGAAAUUUGAAAUGUACGCUUUAUGUUCUUUCAUUUGAUAUGCGACAACCUUACCAUCUGACAAAUUUGAAUUUUUGCACUAAAUGACCCCACCCUUCCCCCUGGGAUGAAAAUGGGUUUAAAAAUUUUCAUUUUUAAGUAGAGUUUAUUAAGACCUUCAAUUUGAUAUAUCAGAUGACCCCAUUUGACAAAGUGCCAAAAAUGAUGCAAUAUCAACUAUAUAAAUAGAAGUUAUGAAACUUACAAAGUCAAUGCAAAACAUGAAAAUUUCAAAUUGAUUUUUUGGUGUUUUUUUCCAUGGAAUGUUUUUGGUAUUUGGUCAAACAUAUAACUAUGUUAACCUCUUCAAUUUAAUAAACAUUUUAAGUGGUAAGCUCUUGUUGAUUCAGAAAUACAUGCCUCCGCUCACAAAAUUUCAAACUGCAUUAUCUCUAAAACGACAAUAGAUAUCUCAAAUCUGUUAAAUGAUAAAUGAUCUACAGUUGAAGGACAACAUUAUAGAAAAAGAAUUGGGACAAUUUCAAAGUUCACCAAGGUCACAAUUAAUCAUCAAAUAUAUGAUGCAAUACAAAACUUGAGAACCGGAAGUCGUAGAGACAUGGGACUAUCACCAUUCAACUCAGGACCACUUGACCUUUCAAAUAUCACAAGGUCAAGGUCAUAGUAUACUGUGAAGGUCAAGGUGAAAUUUCAUCAUGACCUGACAUUGACCUCAAAUUGAAGGUCUUGAAUUACUGAUCAUCUUUGCAGUUUAUAGUAGGUUGAUAUCUGUUACCUUUAAAAAGAUAUACACAAAAUACUAUACUUUU